rnacentral:rRNA from 1 species
ACAGGCUUAACACAUGCAAGUCGAGGGGCAGCACAGGUAGCAAUACCGGGUGGCGACCGGCGCACGGGUGAGUAACGCGUAUGCAACUUGCCUAUCAGAGGGGGAUAACCCGGCGAAAGUCGGACUAAUACCGCAUGAAGCAGGGAUCCCGCAUGGGAAUAUUUGCUAAAGAUUCAUCGCUGAUAGAUAGGCAUGCGUUCCAUUAGGCAGUUGGCGGGGUAACGGCCCACCAAACCGACGAUGGAUAGGGGUUCUGAGAGGAAGGUCCCCCACAUUGGUACUGAGACACGGACCAAACUCCUACGGGAGGCAGCAGUGAGGAAUAUUGGUCAAUGGGCGUAAGCCUGAACCAGCCAAGUCGCGUGAGGGAUGAAGGUUCUAUGGAUCGUAAACCUCUUUUAUAAGGGAAUAAAGUGCGGGACGUGUCCCGUUUUGUAUGUACCUUAUGAAUAAGGAUCGGCUAACUCCGUGCCAGCAGCCGCGGUAAUACGGAGGAUCCGAGCGUUAUCCGGAUUUAUUGGGUUUAAAGGGUGCGUAGGCGGCCUUUUAAGUCAGCGGUGAAAGUCUGUGGCUCAACCAUAGAAUUGCCGUUGAAACUGGGGGGCUUGAGUAUGUUUGAGGCAGGCGGAAUGCGUGGUGUAGCGGUGAAAUGCAUAGAUAUCACGCAGAACCCCGAUUGCGAAGGCAGCCUGCCAAGCCAUUACUGACGCUGAUGCACGAAAGCGUGGGGAUCAAACAGGAUUAGAUACCCUGGUAGUCCACGCAGUAAACGAUGAUCACUAGCUGUUUGCGAUACACUGUAAGCGGCACAGCGAAAGCGUUAAGUGAUCCACCUGGGGAGUACGCCGGCAACGGUGAAACUCAAAGGAAUUGACGGGGGCCCGCACAAGCGGAGGAACAUGUGGUUUAAUUCGAUGAUACGCGAGGAACCUUACCCGGGUUUGAACGCAUUCGGACCGAGGUGGAAACACCUUUUCUAGCAAUAGCCGUUUGCGAGGUGCUGCAUGGUUGUCGUCAGCUCGUGCCGUGAGGUGUCGGCUUAAGUGCCAUAACGAGCGCAACCCUUGCCACUAGUUACUAACAGGUAAAGCUGAGGACUCUGGUGGGACUGCCAGCGUAAGCUGCGAGGAAGGCGGGGAUGACGUCAAAUCAGCACGGCCCUUACAUCCGGGGCGACACACGUGUUACAAUGGCGUGGACAAAGGGAAGCCACCUGGCGACAGGGAGCGAAUCCCCAAACCACGUCUCAGUUCGGAUCGGAGUCUGCAACCCGACUCCGUGAAGCUGGAUUCGCUAGUAAUCGCGCAUCAGCCAUGGCGCGGUGAAUACGUUCCCGGGCCUUGUACACACCGCCCGUCAAGCCAUGGGAGCCGGGGGUACCUGAAGUCCGUAACCGCGAGGAUCGGCCUAGGGUAAAACUGGUGACUGGGGCUAAGUCA